AAGUUUUUAAAAAUUCGUAAAAAUGAUCAUAGAUUCUCGAUAUUUAAAGCUCUUCGUAAAACGCAAAACGUUCACGAUUCCCUCGUAAAUUCGCGUCUCCUCGUCGAGUUUUUAAACAUCUUUGAUAUCAUUAUUAUCCUUCUUCGAACAUGGUGGAUCUGCGUAGUCGAGAAAAUCGUAUCAUCCCAAAAGAGCCGCGCUUUUUACGAUGUUUUAUUACGCGAGAUACAUCUGCGACACACGUCGAACGAAACUGCUUCGGCUUAAUAAUCAUCGGCCUCCGUGUCUAGGAUCGCACGUGCCAACUGAUUACGCGUAAUCGAAUGACAGUGUUCCCUUCUCGGUAAUUUUCGUUCACUUGUUAGAAUUUCAUGGUACACCUACAAUGUGCGAUUUUUCCGUUUACUCAUGAGUGGUAUCGAUUCGAAAACAAGCGUCUCUUUAACGCGACCGGAUAUCGCGCGUUUUCACCUUAUCCCCGCUUAUCUCGCGAAGAUGACGCGAGUCAAAUUGGAAGUCGAAUCGAGUUCGAAGGAAUCAAAGACGAUCCGCAUGCGAUGCGGAAUCGCACGCAACUCCUUCUAUUGUUUCGCGAAUAAAACGUGAGGCAUUGUUAACUAUUAUCGCGAUUCGAGUCCACGUCGUGGACAAUUAAAUUCGUAAGGGAAAAGAAUAUGGAUCGUGAGGGAUCGUUGAAGAGUGGUUCGUCACCGUGGAUGCAGCCGGGUAUCGGAGGUGGAGGUGGCGCGGCCCACACAGGUGGGACAGGUGACGACGAAGCUCCGAAAGAUCCCGGUGUUCGGAUCACUCAUCAACCUUUCACCGAGAAAGACUACGAAGGUCACAGAGCGCACACGGUGUAUGUGGGCGUGCAUCUACCAGGCGAAAGGAGACAUCGUCGUCAUCACAAGCACCAUCAUUCUCAACGUCAAACGUACAGUGCCGAUAAGGAUAAUGUCGACAACGAUAGGCCCAUUACACCCCCAGCCCAGAGGGUGCAAUUUAUCCUGGGCGAAGAAGUUGGCGACGAUGCACACGAAUCCCAUCCUCUCUUCUCCGAGAUGGAGGAGCUCGUCAAGGAUGGUGACGAGAUGGAAUGGAAGGAAACAGCCAGGUGGAUCAAAUUUGAGGAAGAUGUCGAGGAGGGUGGAAAUAGAUGGAGCAAACCACACGUAGCGACUCUCUCGCUACACGCCCUCUUCGAAUUGAGGAGCCUGCUGUUAAAUGGGACCGUGAUGUUGGACAUGGAAGCGAACAGUCUUGAACAGAUUGCUGAUUUGGUUCUCGAUAAUAUGAUCAAUAAAGGCUCGUUGCCGGCCGAGUCGAGAGAAAAGGUCAGGGAAGCUCUUCUGGUGAGGCAUCGGCAUCAACACGAGAGACGUAAAGAUAACAACAUGUCUAGGCUACCUAUUAUCAGAUCAUUGGCCGAAAUAGGUCGAAAUCAUUCCUCUUCGAAGAAUUACGACUGUACGUGUGGUUUGCAUGCGUUGUUGACGUCAGAUUUACAGGAGCGUCGCGGUAGGGACGCCUACGCGCCCUCCGUCGCUCGCAGCAGCAGUUGUCCAAAUCCAAACACAGCUCUACUUUCGAAAGAAACGAAAGAUUUGAAAGGACCGUAUCUUCUGGUUCCAGUGGAGGAAUCGAAUUCCGCUCCGGCGAUCGCCGGCGCAACAAGUCACGGCAGUGGGCCAGCGUUGAAUGCGGGUAGCCGUUUCCUUGCUAUACCUGGCCAAGAACCAGGCCCUAACGGAAUGGAUCGAAGUCCGAGUAGCGUGUCAAUUAGCCGAAAUCACAGUUCGUCCGCCUUAGAAAAUGGAGAUGCGAAUCACAAGGGUAAUACGCAUUUUAUGCGGAAGAUACCAGCGGGAGCCGAGGCGAGCAAUAUUCUCGUAGGAGAGGUCGAUUUUUUAGAUAAAACUCUAUCGGCUUUUAUUCGAUUGAGCCAAGCUGGAAUAAUGGGUGAUUUGACGGAAGUUCCUGUGCCAACGAGAUUUAUAUUUGUUCUGCUUGGACCAACGGGAGGGCUCACAGGUUUCCACGAGAUUGGUCGUGCAAUGGCUACUUUGAUGUCUGACGAGGUCUUCCACGAUGUGGCUUACAAGGCGAAGAACAGAAAUCAUCUUCUCGCCGGAAUUGACGAGUUCUUGGACGCGGUCACGGUUCUACCACCAGGAGAAUGGGAUCCUGCAAUCAGAAUAGAACCGCCUGCUGCCAUUCCUUCGCAGGAUGUAAGAAAACGACCAAAAGAAGAAAAACCGAAAGAAGAACUGGACGAAGAAGCUGAUGAACAAAAAUUGAGGGAAGAAUCCGGACUCUCGAGGUCUGGUAAACUUUUCGGUGGUUUGAUAAACGAUAUCAAGAGGAAAGCGCCGUUUUACUUCUCCGAUUUCAAAGACGCGUUGGCUCUUCAAUGCGUAGCCUCUUUUAUCUUCCUAUACUUUGCCUGUCUCUCGCCUAUAAUCACAUUUGGUGGUUUAUUGGGCGAGGCUACGGGAAAAAAUAUGGCCGCCAUGGAGUCGUUAGUUUCUGGUUUCGUUUGCGGUAUCGGAUAUGGAUUUUUUUCUGGACAACCUUUAACCAUCCUCGGCUCAACCGGUCCCGUUUUAGUCUUCGAGACGAUAGUCUAUGAAUUCUGCAAGAAAUCGGAUUGGAACUACAUGUCGUUCCGUUUUUGGAUCGGCUCAUGGAUAACCUUAAUUUUGGUAAUUCUCGUAGCGAUCGACGCUAGUGCUUUCGUGUGCUACAUCACACGUUUCACAGAGGAAAACUUCGCCACUCUGAUCGCGUUUAUCUUCAUCUACAAAGCCAUUGAAAACGUAUUGUCCAUCGGCAAGAAAUAUCCUAUUAAUACCCAUGCAAACGAUCCGUUCGAUUACGAGUGUUGGUGUAGGCCACCGAAUGGCAGUCUACCGUCUAGCUACGACAACGUUAAUUGGACGGCGCUCGAUCAAAAAACGUGCCAGAAUUACAACGGUACGCUAGUGGGCGAUGGUUGCAACUUACCGCACUAUAUACCUGAUGUGUUCCUCAUGUCAAUUAUACUAUUCAUGGGCACAUUUCUGUUAUCCGUUGAGCUCAAAGACUUCAAGAACGCUCUCUUCUUUCCAUCGAAGGUCAGACAAGUCGUUAGUGAUUUCGCGGUGAUAAUAGCAAUUUUUUCGAUGAGUACUCUCGAUCAUUUCGCGAAUAUUCCGACGCCGAAACUCGAGGUACCAACGGAAUUCAAGCCAACGUUGGCAGAUCGAGGAUGGAUAAUCUGGCCUUUUCAAAGUAAUCCAUGGUGGAGCGCUAUUGUUGCAAGUCUGCCAGCUCUGUUAGGUACUAUAUUGAUUUUUAUGGAUCAACAAAUCACAGCCGUGAUAGUAAAUAGGAAAGAGAAUAAAUUAAAGAAAGGAUGUGGCUAUCAUUUGGAUCUAUUCGUUCUCGCGAUUCUGAUAGAAAUUUGCUCGGUAAUGGGAUUACCCUGGUUCGUAGCGGCAACGGUGCUUUCGAUUAAUCAUGUGAACUCGUUGAAACUGGAAUCGGAAUGCGCCGCACCAGGAGAAAAACCACGAUUCCUUGGUGUUCGCGAGCAACGAGUAACGCAUAUUUUAAUCUUUUUGAUGAUCGGUUGUUCGGUCUUACUCACACCAAUGUUGAGACACAUACCUAUGCCGGUAUUAUUUGGCGUUUUUCUUUAUAUGGGAGUCGCUUCAUUGAAAGGACUUCAAUUUUUCGACAGAAUUUUAAUUAUGUUGAUGCCGGUUAAAUACCAACCCGAUUAUAUGUUCCUUCGACAGGUACCAUUGAAACGCGUACAUCUAUUUACAACGAUACAAUUGACUUGUUUAGCCUGUUUGUGGAUCAUCAAAUCCUUCAGCAGUACUUCCAUUCUUUUCCCUUUGAUGCUGAUGGUGAUGAUUGGAAUACGCAAGUCCUUAGAUUUGAUGUUCACGCAACGGGAGUUGAAGAUCCUGGACGAUAUAAUGCCGGAACCAAGCAAAAAACAUGCCGAAGAUCUUCGUCAAUUGGAGAGCGGCGAGGAACAAAACGAAUCCAUCGGAUAUGGUCCAUCAGGUAAUAUACAAAUCUCAUUGGCGAAUGGCAACAUUAUGAAAAUUCCAAUGGCGAGCAUCAAUAUCAGCGAAGAAGUGAAUAAGACAGGGAUUUGGCAACAAGUAAAUGAAGGCAACGAGAAAAUGAAACAAGUCAAAUUGAUCAACGCGGGAAAGCAAAAAAAGCACUCGAAGAAAGAUAACUUGUUGAUGGCCGACGAGACUACGAGGCUGACUACGAUGACCGAAGAGGAUGAAGAUGACAGUGGGAUCUCUAUCAAGGUGACAAACGUAAAUGACUCUAAAUUCUAGCCACCACCACCAUCACCAAACCGAUAAAUCACAUGGCAAGUCACACAGCAAGAGCACCAAUACACCGGCAUGCAACAUACCCCCAUGUACGCUACUGUGUAGACUUGAUACGAUCGAAGGAAAGCAUCAGCCCGUUAACGAUUAACGGCACUACUUCGGCCGAGACUUCUGUUUAACGAAAACAACGCUACACUGGGAACGAUUCGCGAGAUCGUUUUUAAUCGUUAAAAUAUCCCGAAGAUUCCAUUACGAAUUAAUAGAUACAAUAUGUUUUAAUUUUUAUCGUACGCGUUAUUGCCAGCCAAGAUACAAACACAAUUAUGGUGAAUCGUUGAAAGAAAAUUAUUACGAGAACAAUAACCAAGUUGAAGCAUAUGGAACACUUUGAUACUAUAUGAAAGUUUAAACAGCGAUAAAAAUAAGUGAAAAAUAAUUUUUUUUUUGUUUUUACAGAGAAUAAAAUCGCAUGCGAGACUAUCUUAUCUCAUUGCAUUUGUAAUUUGAUCGAGUGCAAUUAAUGAGUGCCACUGACAUAUAUCUAGAUUGUAACUAACAUGAACGUAUUUUAUUCAUAUAAAAAAAAGAAAAAAGAAAAAAAAAAGAA
rnacentral:misc_RNA from 1 species